GGAUAUCUCACACUCAUAGCUCACUUUGUUGACAAAGAAUGGAAAAUGCACAAAAGAAUUUAAAAUUUUUGUCAUAUGCCUCCUCCACAUACCGGGGUUGCUUUGUUUGAAAAAAUUAACGCCUUAUUAGUUGAGUGGGGGAUUGAAAAGAAAUUGUUUUCCAUUACUUUGGAUAAUGCCUUUGCAAAUGAUUGUUCUGCUGAGCUAUUGAAGAAACAAUUAAAUUUUAGAGGUUUGCUAUUAAUGGAUGGAAAGUUCUUACAUGUUCGUUGUUGUGCUCACAUCCUAAACUUGAUAGUCCAAGAUGGACUAAAGGAAAUUGAUGGAUGAGUGAUGAAAGUUCGUGAGUGCAUCAAAUAUAUAAAGUGUUCAGAAGCGAGAAAAAAUAAGUUUAUUGCUUGCGUUGCAUAAGUAGGAUUGGCAAGUAGUAAAAGAUGGUUGAGACAAGAUGUGCCUACUAGAUGGAAUUCAACAUAUACAAUGCUGAAUAGUGCUAUUUUCUAUCGUCGUGUUUUUCUCAAUUUGGCACUUGUUAAUUCUAAUUUUAAUUCAUGUCCUUCAUUCGAAGAGUAGGAUAAAAUAAAGAAGAUUUCCAAUUUCUUGGGGUAUUUUUAUGAAGUUACUUGCUUAUUUUCCGGAACAAAUUACCCUACAUCAAACUUGUUUUUCCCAAAAGUGUUCAACGUCCAUUAUUGUAUUCAAGAUGCUAUGGAAGAUUGUGAUGAUUUCAUGAGACGGAUGGGGAGUUAUAUGAAUUUGAAGUUUGAAAAAUAUUGGUCAGAGUAUAGUUUGAUUCUUGCUGUUACAGUGAUUCUUGAUCCUCGCUAUAAAUUGGAAUUUGUAGAGUGGGGUUAUGACAAGCUUUAUGGUAAGGAUUCUAGAGAGUUGAAGGAUGUUAGUGGCACAUUGUUUGCACUCUUUGCUCAUUACAUGGACAAAUUCUCUCAUCUUCUUGUAUCCAACCAAGUCAAUCAAACUCCUACUCAAAGAAAAGUUGGAGACAAACUUUUUGAGGAAUUUGAUAAUAUUUACCAAGAUGGGUCAACUUUAAAUGAAAAAAAACUGAAUUACAUCUAUAUCUUGAAGAAAAGAGACUUGAUAGAAAACAGGAGUUGGAUAUUCUUUCAUGGUGGAAAUUGGAGCGAUUUCGUUAUCCUGUACUUUCUUGUAUGGCUUCUGAUGUGUUAACAAUUCCCAUCUCAACUGUUGCCUCGGAAUCAGCAUUUAGUAUUAAUGGUAGGGUGCUUGAUCAAUAUCGAAGUUCUUUGUUGCCUGAAACCGUUCAAGCCUUGCUAUGUACUAGAGAUUGGCUUUUUGGCAAAGGAGCUUUAGAGAAAGAGGGUGCUGACUUGGAAGAACUCACUGAAGAAAUUUUUGACAUGAGCCUUAACGAAAACUCGGGACAAUGCUCCAAUAGUAUUAGCCUUGAUUAAGAAAGAUUUUUGGGUGUUCGAUAUGCAAAUUCUUCCUUAAAGUAGCGAUGUAAUUGGGCGGUACAUCUUGGUGAUGUUGAAUACGUCAUAAGAUGUUAGAUUGUUAGUUAAUUAGUUGAUUUGGAAAACCCUUACUGAG